rnacentral:rRNA from 1 species
AACGAACGCUGGCGGCAGGCUUAACACAUGCAAGUCGAGCGGGCAUAGCAAUAUGUCAGCGGCAGACGGGUGAGUAACGCGUGGGAAUCUACCCAACCCUACGGAAUAACGCAUGGAAACGUGUGCUAAUACCGUAUACGCCCUAACGGGGAAAGAUUUAUCGGGGAUGGAUGAGCCCGCGUUGGAUUAGCUAGUUGGUGGGGUAAAGGCCUACCAAGGCGACGAUCCAUAGCUGGUCUGAGAGGAUGAUCAGCCACAUUGGGACUGAGACACGGCCCAAACUCCUACGGGAGGCAGCAGUGGGGAAUAUUGGACAAUGGGCGCAAGCCUGAUCCAGCCAUGCCGCGUGAGUGAUGAAGGCCCUAGGGUUGUAAAGCUCUUUCACCGGAGAAGAUAAUGACGGUAUCCGGAGAAGAAGCCCCGGCUAACUUCGUGCCAGCCGCCGCCGUAA